rnacentral:sRNA from 1 species
GGUAUUCCUUAUCUGUCUAAUGGUUUGUUUAUCAAGAGCCGGUCUUGUGUGCAUUUUCACUGUGGUUCAGGAAAAUACACCAAGACAGGCCCAAUCACUUGGUUGCCUAGAUGUUGCACUAA